rnacentral:rRNA from 1 species
AUUGAACGCUGGCGGCAGGCCUAACACAUGCAAGUCGGACGGAGUGGCGGACGGGUGAGUAAUGUAUGGGAAUCUGCCUGAUGGAGGGGGAUCACUCCUGGAAACGGUAGCUAAUACCGCAUACUAUCAGUUGUGCCUAGGGGGGAUUAGCUAGUUGGUGGGGUAAUGGCUCACCAAGGCGACGAUCCCUACCUGGUCUGAGAGGAUGACCAGUCACACUGGAACUGAGACACGGUCCAGACUCCUACGGGAGGCAGCAGUGGGGAAUAUUGGACAAUGGGCGAAAGCCUGAUCCAGCCAUGCCGCGUGUGUGAAGAAGGUCUUCGGGUUGUAAAGCACUUUAAGUUGGGAGGCGUUACCAACAGAAUAAGCACCGGCUAACUUCGUGCCAGCAGCCGCGGUAAUAC